CAGAAAUGUCUAUCAGAAACAACGCUCGAACUGAGGAAUUUAAUAGAAAAGAAAAUUAUUAUUUAAAAGAAAGUUAAUGCAAUUUUACGAACCGCUCGACAAAGUCACAAAUAAGACUUGAUUGAUUUAUUCACAAUUCAACGGAUGCUCGCGAAAACAAGACCGUGAUUUUCCGGAUUAGCCUUCCCGGCGUGAAAUCGUCCGGAAGACGUUUGGAUACGAAGGACGAACGAAUUAAACCAUCCACUAGAAUAAUUGGUUUUGGAGGUAAUAAAAAAUCGAGACUGUGGAAUUGAGCAGCUAACUGAUUCAACAAGGUCAAUUUUCAGCUGGCGCAGAUUAAGAUACUAGCAAAACCCGCCUGAUGCAAAGCGAUUUCCAGAAGCUAUAUAUUUCUCAACCUAAAUAACUUUUUUAUCGCAAGAGAGGAGUGGAUGAGGUAGCAGCCAAUCCAAAAGCCUACAAAUUAGUUGCAACAAGAAAGCUCCAGGGACUUUGAAAAUACAAUUAGAAAAUAAAAUGAAAUACAAAUAAAAGAAAAGAAAAAAAAGAGAAAAAGGCAAAAGGAGGUGGCUCAGCUAUUGCUGUUCAAGGUUGAUAAAUCGAACAGCGCUGAAGUAAAGCUGUUGUAUUCUUUGUACGAGGAGCACUGCUGCUUGAGAUAUAGAUUUUAUCACCUAGUUCAAGCACAAAUGCAAAUUAUGAUUGUGUUUCUAAUUCUAGAAGCCGAAACUGCUAACGAGAGACGACAAUGAACUUCUCGGAAAUCGUAAAACAAGCCCGGGAGUUCGUCAACAGGAUACAGAAGUAUAUAGGAAUCUGCGGAUAUGAGCGUGGGUUCGAACGAAUAGGAAAACAGUUAUAAAUGUAUACGAAGUACAUAAAGUAAUUACAAAAAGGAGCUGAUAAUAUUGAAGUGUGUCCAGUCUGUUACGUCGCUAAAAUAGCUAGUCAACCGACAGCUCAAGGCGCUUUGAAUUGAGACCGGUUUUGUUUAUAAUUAAUUAGACAACUUCUGUUUGCGAAUUGUCGUACUAAAUGGCUGAUACCGAUCAUAGAGGAUUUAACAAUACGUUGACCUUACAAUGCGAUACUAAAAUGUCACUAGAACGUUAUUUAAAUUAGAUACUGUAAUUCUAUGUAAUGCGCUCGAUAAAUAAUUUACUGCUCUUUAAAUUUUACACUGUUGUAUGUUAUUUGUUCUGUUAAUAAUUAUAAAAUGAGCCGUGAUUAAUGAAUUUUGAUUUUAUCUGUUUUGAUUAGUCUGCCUAUUUCCGCCGUGAAGCAGUAAUGCGUUUCGGUUCGAAGGGUGGGGUAGCCGUUGUAACUAUACUGAAACCUUAGAACUUAUAUCUCUAGGUGGGUGGCGCGUUUACGUUGUAGAUGUCUAUGGGCUCCAGUAACCACUUAACACCAGGUGGUCUGUGAGCUCGUCCACCCAUCAAAGCAAUAAAAAAAAAAAAAAAUAGUACGAAGUUUUGUAAUAAAAUAUACCUGGAUAUUAAAUAGAUAUAUUCUGCGAAUUAUAGACACAAAUGAAAUUAAUUAAAAAAAAAUCCUCACUGGUAAACUUAAGUGUAGCUUGAAUAUGAUAAUUUUAUUUUAUUUUUGUUUGAAUUAGAAUGAGUAUUAAUAUUAUUUGCUUUAGUUUUUCAAACAGCUGUCUAGCAGUGCCUAUAUUAUGUAGAAUCAAAUAUACAUCUAUGUGUUAGCGUU